GAUGAACGCUGGCGGCGUGCUUAACACAUGCAAGUCGAACGAAACACCUUAUUUGAUUUUCUUCGGAACUGAAGAUUUGGUGAUUGAGUGGCGGACGGGUGAGUAACGCGUGGGUAACCUGCCCUGUACAGGGGGAUAACAGUCAGAAAUGACUGCUAAUACCGCAUAAGACCACAGCACCGCAUGGUGCAGGGGUAAAAACUCCGGUGGUACAGGAUGGACCCGCGUCUGAUUAGCUGGUUGGUGAGGUAACGGCUCACCAAGGCGACGAUCAGUAGCCGGCUUGAGAGAGUGAACGGCCACAUUGGGACUGAGACACGGCCCAAACUCCUACGGGAAGCAGCAGUGGGGAAUAUUGCACAAUGGGGGAAACCCUGAUGCAGCGACGCCGCGUGAGUGAAGAAGUAUUUCGGUAUGUAAAGCUCUAUCAGCAGGGAAGAAAAUGACGGUACCUGACUAAGAAGCCCCGGCUAACUACGUG
rnacentral:rRNA from 1 species